GCGCAUGUAGCUCAGUUGGUUAGAGCAUCCGCCUUAUAAGCGGAAGGUUCGCUGGUUCAAGUCCAGCCAUGCGCA
rfam:Candidatus Buchananbacteria bacterium RIFCSPLOWO2_01_FTLL_40_23b rifcsplowo2_01_scaffold_3134, whole genome shotgun sequence.